GACGAACGCUGGCGGCGUGCCUAAUACAUGCAAGUCGAGCGGAAGUUGGAGAGCUUGCUCUUCAACUUUAGCGGCGGACGGGUGGGUAACACGUGGGCAACCUGCCCUGCAGAUCGGGAUAACUCCGGGAAACCGGUGCUAAUACCGAAUAGUUUUCGCCACCUCCUGGUGGCGUACGGAAAGACGGUUUCGGCUGUCACUGCAGGAUGGGCCCGCGGCGCAUUAGCUAGUUGGUGGGGUAACGGCCCACCAAGGCGACGAUGCGUAGCCGACCUGAGAGGGUGAUCGGCCACACUGGGACUGAGACACGGCCCAGACUCCUACGGAAGGCAGCAGUAGGGAAUCUUCCGCAAUGGACGAAAGUCUGACGGAGCAACGCCGCGUGAGUGACGAAGGUUUUCGGAUCGUAAAACUCUGUUGUGAGGGAAGAACAAGUACCAACUAACUACUGGUACCUUGACGGUACCUCACCAGAAGGCCACGGCUAACUACGUGCCAGCCGCCGCGGUAAUAC
rnacentral:rRNA from 1 species